rnacentral:lncRNA from 10 species
AAAAAGACAUUAGAUUUUUAAAAUUUUAUAUCGUUUGAAAUUUGUGAAAUUUUGAGUUUCAUAAAAUUUCGAUCUUUCCCAAAUUAAUUUUUCAAUUGUAUAAAAUUCCAAUCCUUACCUCAGUGAGGUUUUUUUCUGGAUGUGGAUAAAAAUCACGAAGAAAUUUUUUAAAAUGAAGACUUGGGUGGGGUGGAAAAUGAUCUUGGGCUGGACGUUUCUAUCUGUCUCUGCCCUUCUCUACCCUGCCCCAAAGCUGGCCCCUGUGACUGCGUCCCCAGCUCUCUCGUCCUCUUAUACCUGGUUGGAUUUGGGCAGUGGGAGGUACUGUAAGGAAUAGGGGGGCAGAAGAUCAAGUCAGAAUGUUUCCUCCCCAGCUCCUUCCCUGGGGGGUUACAAUGAAUUGCCUGUUUCCUACUGAAGACCACAGUCCCUGGCAGACAGCCCUCUCCAUAGAACUCUGCUCCCCAGAUUCCAGAAAACGCUUCCUCCCAGAGGUGUGCUAGUAACUGCUGAAUGGCAAGCUCUGAAAAAAAGGGGGGCAUGAACCUCUGAUGUACAGCAUUUGCCCAUUUCCUUGGUGUAAGUAUUCCCACCAUGGCUGAUUUCAAGCUACUAACGUGAAGUUGCGUGUUGCUAACAACUGGCUCCUGCCAGCUAGUGUGAGCCACCUUCAGCACACCCUAGGGACAGCUCCCCCUGUCACUGGCCCUGGUGUACUGCCCUACUCCUUGUUUGCUUCCAUAAAGCUUGCCCAUCCCUUCUUUGUUGUACCACUUGAGUAGACGGUUUGCUUCCUGCUAGGACCCUAGCUGAGGAGUUACUAGAAAGUUAGUUCAAAGAAAAGGACAGAAGAACAAAUAGAUUAAUAGGACAUUAUAGGUACUCCAUAAAUUAAUCUGAGUAUAUUUGGGAAAUUUAUGUAUACAUAUUUAUAUGUAUAAAUUUAUGUAUGUAUAUAUAUUUUUAAUAUAUAUAGGUGGCGUUUAAAUUCAACAGAAACAGACUGCUUCAUUAACAAAUGGUAUCAUUAAUAAGAAGGUAAUGAUAUAAAAGCAAGUUUUGCAGUGAACUUAUAUAAGGAAAUCACUCAGCGUGAAGCCAGGCAAACAGUAGGUGCUUACUAAAUGGUCACUGUCAUCUGGUUCUCCUUCGGAUGAGUAAGCUAUUUGAAGCAGCCACUGGUGCUGCUCCUUCUCCAUCCUCUUGUACUGUCUUCCUCUCACCAAAAACGCUUACUGCAAACACCUGCACUUCUCCACCUGAGGCACUUUUUCUGGCCCUGGGAGCAUGCUUGGCCCAUGUUCAGAGCAAGCCAGAAGUGCUGUUGGGUUAAUACCCCAGAAGCAGCCCUCAACCAAUCAAUUCGAGGGUGGAGGAUAAAUACCUCCACUCCCUCUCCCCACAGGUGGGAUCACUCUGAGGCACAUAUUUUGUGCUGCCUCCCCAAGCACCCCAGUGAGAUUAAGCUCUAUUUGCUCACGCUGAAAACCUGCUUGGUGAUAUACUCUGUAUUGCUUUCCUUUUCUUCUGCGUCUUACGUACAAGAAGAAAGAGAUGAGGAGGAGUAGGUGAGGGAUAGCAAAUGGUCCCUAGAUGCUCUAGUGACUUUUAAUUGCCAGUAUCUGCAUCUUUACCUGGGUUUUUUUCCCUGAAACUGGAAGGACUUGCUGCUGGCUGGAAGAAGUGCCCACGAUUUAACACUGCACACUCCUCCCCAGUACAUCUCAACCAAUGACUCUCAGGAGUUAGCGUAUCAAUAUCCCAGCUCCCUCGAAGUGUAGACGGAAUAAUUCUGAGCUGUGUGCUUUGCACUCUUUCCCAGAGUUUGUUGGAGGGAUGAAGCUGUCUGUGGUCACCUGUUGUGGUGGCUGACUUGAUAAGGCACACUGUAUCUGCUGACUUUUCUCCUCUGUCUUCUUCAAUGCUUCUCCUUGAACCGUCACCUCUCAUCUCUUAAAUAAGCUACGUACCCUUGAAUCCCUUUCUCAGUGAUUGCUUUCAGGAAAACUGAAAUUUGAGACAUCUCUGAUAUUUGAGUGAUGACGAGAAGUCAGGUAUGAAAAGAAUUGGGUAAGAGUGGAAUAAAAAUGGUGCAUAGAUGUUUUUAUUUAUUUAUUUUUUUGUGCGAUGCCACUUUGUGAGAUGUGGAAGAUAUAGGGGAAAUGGGAAGGAACUGAAGAUCAGAGGGUCAUUGUUAAGAGCACGGACUCUGGAGCCAGACCCUUGGGUACAUGUCCCAGCACUGCCAUUUAACAUCUGCAGGAACUUAGGCAAGCCACUGAGUCCCUUAAUGCCUCGAUUUCUUUAUCUGUAAAAUGAAACUAAAAGCUGUACUUCAGAGGGUCGUGAUGAGGACUGAGUGAGUUACAAUAUGUAAAGCACUUAUAACAGUGCCUUGUGCAGUAAACACUAUUAUUAUUAUUACUAGUGGUUUUGUUAUUAGUAUUACUGCUUUAGACAUGUUAAGAUUGAGAUGCCUAUUGACAUCCAAUUAUAUCUGGCCCAAGUGCUCCCAAGUCUCUGGGGACAAUGUGGUGAGAUAAUAACAGACAUGAAAGAGUCUUGGAAACUCUUUGUUUACCCGUCUGUCUGCCCCUUUGAGCUCCAGAGACCAUGACUAACUCGCCUCGGUCCCAGGCUUUGACUCAGGGCUGAUCAGAGCAGUGACUCAGGGUAGCCACUGAGGAUGUAAAUAAAGGAAGGAAUGGAGCAGGUCUUGCUGGCCACAGGUAAGGGAACAUUCAUGAGAUUAUUUCUGCAGGGGUCCCAGAUCUAGUCCAUCGAGGAGCUGCUGUCAUUGCCCCAAGGCAGCUCUAGAGUUUUUAGAGUUUGUCUACCCCAGAGUUAAAAGGUUUUCCUGAGAAUGAAGUGCUGGGGCUUUGCAGAUCUGAGAUAAGGCAGCUCUUAGAGUCUGCAGUAACCUGAGCUGCCCAGGCUUGGCAGAGGCAUCUGGGAAGCUCUCACAAGAAAGGGAGGACAGAAAGCCAGCCCAGGUAGGCAUACCAGCUCCUGGCUCCUCCCAGAUGAAGGCCCAAAUGUGGGGAUAAUGACCCUCUGCUGAGCAGCUUAAUCCCAAAAGGUGCUUGAAAAAAUGGAGCCUGCUGUCAGUGGAAGCAUCAAUUGGUGCCACCCUCUGCAAAGGCAAAUUAACGAUACCAGCACCUUGUUGAGUCAUUUUGAAGCCUGAGGCCAAAGGGAAAAUGUGCAGCCUUCAUAUAUAUGACUUUAAAAAAUUAUUAAUAUUAUUAUUAUUAUUUGAGACGGAGUCUCACUCUGUCACCCAGGUUGGAGUGCAGUGGCGCGAUCUCAGCUCACUGCAACCUCUGCCACCCGAGUUCAAGUGAUUCUCCUGCCUCCGCCUCCUGAGUAGCUGUGAUUAUAGCCACUUGCCACCACGCCCGGCUAAUUUUUUUUUUUUUUUUUUUUUUUUUUUAGUAGAGACGGGGUUUCACCAUGUUGGUCAGGCUGGUCCUGAACUCCUGACUUCAUGAUCCGCCCCCACCUUGGCCUCCCAAAGUUCUAGGAUUACAGGCAUGAGCCACUGCACCCAGCCUUAUUAUUAUUAUUAUUAUUAUUAUUAUCAUUGAGACAGGAUCUCACUGUGUCACCUAGGCUGGAGUUCAGUGGCUCGAUCUUAGCUCACUGAAGCCUCGAGCUCCCAGGCUCAAGCGAUCCUCCUGCCUCAGCCUCCUGAGUAGCUGGAACUACAGACAUUCGCAACCAUGCCCGGCUAGCCUCAUACAUAUAAAUAAUCUAUUUUUUCACAGUUAAAUUCUUUCCAGGAGUAGAUUUUGAAAAUAUUAGCGAUGAGUUUGCUUCCAUUAAACCCAGCAAAGUAAAAUUGAUACAAAUUCUGUUUGGGGUAUAAAUAAAAUAAAACAUAAGUAAUGCUGUGAGUUUUAAUACACUUACUUCUAACUUUUCAGUGUAUAUUUUUCAACUACUUCAACGAUUUGGGAGAAAAUUACCAUUAAAGAAUACAUUAAAAUAUGUAUAUGAAGGCACGUUUUUCCUUUGGCCACAGGCUCAACAAAGCCAGUAUGACACUGUCAGAUGCUGUCUUUAAAACGUUGAUAUUUUGCUCAUUAUGGAUGGUUUUUAGCAUUAAUUUUGAUUUUUAAAAAUAUUGCAUUAAGAUACAAUUUAUCUUGAUUACUGAGUUUUUGGGGCAUCCUCUUAAAUUUUGUGCCUGAAUGCUUCACUCACCUCACCCUACUUCUGAUCCUGCUUGUGCCAGACCAUAAGGGGCCUUAUCCAGCAGAUACCACCCCUCAGGCUUGACGUUAGGGGAACUGUCACACAAAAGAGUGUGUUCAAGAGUGCUCACCGCAGCAUGGGAAACCAGUCCAGUCCUUCUUAGAAGACGGCUGCUUACAUGGAGCCAUACGGUGGCAUAUUCUACAGCCGUUAAAAAGAAUAUUAUUUCAAAUUUUCCAACACAUAAAAACAUCUAAGACAUAUUAAGGAAGAAAGUUACAAAACCACACCUAUAAUGAAGCUCAUAUUUCUAUUUGCACUGUUGGAAAUGUUUUGUAUUAAUCUCACAACUUUCCUACAAGGCUAUAGAUGAGGAAACUGGGGUCCAGAGAAGUUAAGUAGUUUUCCCAGGGACACACAGCAGGGAAACAAGAGCCAGGUUUUUUAGUGCAGGAAGUCUAGCUCCAGACUCCAAGGUUUCAGCCUCUAAGUGAAACUUCUUCUAUUUGAUUCUGGAAUCUAUAUUUACGCAUAGAUCUAUCUGUAUUUAUUUAUUAUACAUAUAGUGUAGAAAAAAUCAUGGGGCAGCCAGGUGCGGUGGCUCACACCUGUAAUCUCAGCACUUUGGGAGGCCGAGGCGAGUGGAUCACUUGCAGCCAGGAGUUCGAGACCACCCUGGCCAACAUUCUACUAAAAAUAUAAAAAUUAGCCAGGCGUGGUGGCAGGAGCCUGUAAUCUCAGCUACUCAGGAGGCUGAGGCAGGAGAACCGCUUGAA